rnacentral:rRNA from 1 species
AGUGAACGCUGGCGGUAGGCCUAACACAUGCAAGUCGAACGGCAGCACAGCAAGAGCUUGCUCUUACGGGUGGCGAGUGGCGGACGGGUGAGGAAUACAUCGGAAUCUACUUUUUCGUGGGGGAUAACGUAGGGAAACUUACGCUAAUACCGCAUACGACCUACGGGUGAAAGCAGGGGAUCUUCGGACCUUGCGCGAUUGAAUGAGCCGAUGUCGGAUUAGCUAGUUGGCGGGGUAAAGGCCCACCAAGGCGACGAUCCGUAGCUGGUCUGAGAGGAUGAUCAGCCACACUGGAACUGAGACACGGUCCAGACUCCUACGGGAGGCAGCAGUGGGGAAUAUUGGACAAUGGGCGCAAGCCUGAUCCAGCCAUACCGCGUGGGUGAAGAAGGCCUUCGGGUUGUAAAGCCCUUUUGUUGGGAAAGAAAAGCAGCAGGUUAAUACCCCGCUGUUCUGACGGUACCCAAAGAAUAAGCACCGACUAACUUCGUG